CCUACGGGAGGCAGCAGUGGGGAAUAUUGCACAAUGGGGGAAACCCUGCUGCAGCGACGCCGCGUGAGUGAAGAAGUAUUUCGGUAUGUAAAGCCCUAUCAGCAGGGAAGAUAAUGACGGUACCUGAGUAAGAAGCCCCGGCUAAAUACGUGCCAGCAGCCGCGGUAAUACGUAGGGGGCAAGCGUUAUCCGGAUUUACUGGGUGGAAAGGGAGCGUAGGCGGCCUGGCAAGCCUGAUGUGAAAUACCGGGGCCCAACCCCGGGGCUGCAUUGGGAACUGCCAGGCUGGAGUGCCGGAGAGGCAGGCGGAAUUCCUAGUGUAGCGGUGAAAUGCGUAGAUAUUAGGAGGAACACCAGUGGCGAAGGCGGCCUGCUGGACGGUGACUGACGCUGAGGCUCGAAAGCGUGGGGAGCAAACAGGAUUAGAUACCCCUGUAGUC
rnacentral:rRNA from 1 species